rnacentral:rRNA from 1 species
UACGUAGGGUGCAAGCGUUAAUCGGAAUUACUGGGCGUAAAGCGUGCGCAGGCGGUUCGGAAAGAGAGGUGUGAAAUCCCAGGGCUUAACCUUGGAACUGCACUUCUAACUACCGGGCUAGAGUACGUCAGAGGGGGGUAGAAUUCCACGUGUAGCAGUGAAGUGCGUAGAGAUGUGGAGGAAUACCGAUGGCGAAGGCAGCCCCCUGGGAUGAUACUGACGCUCAUGCACGAAAGCGUGGGGAGCAAACAGG